rnacentral:rRNA from 1 species
GACGAACGCUGGCGGCGUGCUUAACACAUGCAAGUCGAACGAUGAAGCCGGAGCUUGCUCUGGUGAAUUAGUGGCGAACGGGUGAGUAACACGUGAGUAACCUGCCCUUGACUCUGGGAUAACUGCGGGAAACUGUAGCUAAUACCGGAUACGACCCUCGGAGGCAUCUCCUGGGGGUGGAAAGAAUUUCGGUCAAGGAUGGACUCGCGGCCUAUCAGCUAGUUGGUGAGGUAAAGGCUCACCAAGGCGACGACGGGUAGCCGGCCUGAGAGGGUGACCGGCCACACUGGGACUGAGACACGGCCCAGACUCCUACGGGAGGCAGCAGUGGGGAAUAUUGCACAAUGGGCGCAAGCCUGAUGCAGCAACGCCGCGUGAGGGAUGACGGCCUUCGAGUUGUAAACCUCCUUUAGCAGGGAAGAAGCGAAAGUGACGGUACCUGCAGAAAAAGCACCGGCUAACUACGUGCCAGCCGCCGCGGUAA